AGCCCUGUCGCCAAACGGUUGAAGGCAUAAGACUUUGACUCUUACAUCGUUGGUUCGACUCCAACCAGGGCUGCCA
rnacentral:tRNA from 1 species